GUAGGGGUUCUGAGAGGAAGGUCCCCCACAUUGGAACUGAGACACGGUCCAAACUCCUACGGGAGGCAGCAGUGAGGAAUAUUGGUCAAUGGACGGGAGUCUGAACCAGCCAAGUAGCGUGCAGGACGACGGCCCUAUGGGUUGUAAACUGCUUUUAUAGGGGGAUAAAGUGUGCCACGUGUGGCAUAUUGCAGGUACCCUAUGAAUAAGGACCGGCUAAUUCCGUGCCAGCAGCCGCGGUAAUACGGAAGGUCCGGGCGUUAUCCGGAUUUAUUGGGUUUAAAGGGAGCGUAGGCCGUCUUAUAAGCGUGUUGUGAAAUGUCGGGGCUCAACCUGGGCAUUGCAGCGCGAACUGUGAGACUUGAGUGCGCAGGAAGUAGGCGGAAUUCGUCGUGUAGCGGUGAAAUGCUUAGAUAUGACGAAGAACUCCGAUUGCGAAGGCAGCCUGCUGUAGCGCAACUGACGCUGAAGCUCGAAAGCGUGGGUAUCGAACAGGAUUAGAUACCCUGGUAGUCCACGCGGUAAACGAUGGAUGCUCGCUGUUUGCGUCUGACGUAAGCGGCCAAGCGAAAGCGUUAAGCAUCCCACCUGGGGAGUACGCCGGCAACGGUGAAACUCAAAGGAAUUGACGGGGGCCCGCACAAGCGGAGGAACAUGUGGUUUAAUUCGAUGAUACGCGAGGAACCUUACCCGGGCUUGAACUGUAGGCGAACGAUUCAGAGAUGAAGAGGCCCUUCGGGGCGCCUAUGGAGGUGCUGCAUGGUUGUCGUCAGCUCGUGCCGUGAGGUGUCGGCUUAAGUGCCAUAACGAGCGCAACCCUUGUUCGUAGUUGCCAUCGGUUAAAGCCGGGCACUCUGCGAAGACUGCCUCCGUAAGGAGUGAGGAAGGUGGGGAUGACGUCAAAUCAGCACGGCCCUUACGUCCGGGGCUACACACGUGUUACAAUGGCAUGUACAGAAAGCUGGGUGUAUGCAAAUACGCUCGAAUCCCUAAAACAUGUCUCAGUUCGGACUGGGGUCUGCAACCCGACCCCACGAAGCUGGAUUCGCUAGUAAUCGCGCAUCAGCCAUGGCGCGGUGAAUACGUUCCCGGGCCUUGUACACACCGCCCGUCAAGCCAUGAAAGCCGGGGGCGCCUAAAGUCCGUGACCGCGAGGGUCGGCCUAGGGUGAAACCGGUGAUUGGGGCUAAGUCGUAACAAGGUA
rnacentral:rRNA from 1 species